rnacentral:rRNA from 1 species
CCUACGGGAGGCAGCAGUGGGGAAUAUUGCACAAUGGGGGAAACCCUGAUGCAGCAACGCCGCGUGAGUGAAGGAUUAUUUCGGUAUGGUAAGCUCUAUCAGUAGGGAAGAAGAAAGACGGUACCUGACUAAGAAGCCCCUGCUUACUACGUGCCGGCAGCCGCGGUAAUACGUAGGGGCCAAGCGUUUUCCGGAGUUACUGGGGGUAAAGGGAGCGUAGACGGGUUUGCAAGUCUGAAGUGAAAGCCCUUGGCUCAACCGCGGAAUUGCUAUGGAAACUGGAUGGCUUGAGGACUGGAGAGGUAGGCGGAAUUCGUAGUGUAGCGGUGAAAUGCGUAGAUAUUAGGAGGAACACCAGUGGCGAAGGCGGCCUGCUGGACAGAAACUGACGUUGAGGCUCGAAAGCGUGGGGAGCAAACAGGAUUAGAUACCCCUGUAGUC